ACUAUCCCAUUUUGGAAACGUUACAUGUACAAUACUAUCCCAUUUUGGAAACGUUAAAUGUCUGCCCCCUUGUGGAGGGAAAUUAAUAGCUUAGAUGGUAGCUGUAGAUGGGAUUCAAAUGCAUAAUGUAUUAAUAGUGUCUAGACUUCCUCUUUUUGUAUAAACACCCUUCAGAAUCCAAACACAGUAUUGUCACGCAGCAAAAGUCAGCCUGAUAAAAUAUUGAACAACUUGUGUACAAAAAUUUCCUGACAUGUAAUAUUAGGACUGUAUGGCAGUACUGUUACUGUAUGUCAGUACUGUAUUGGCUAGUGCUUUCUCCAUGAUGUUCUUCUAUUUUGCAUUACAUUGCAUGUCGAUGCCAUUUAUCUUUCAAUAUUUAUUUAAUAUAUAUAUAAUGUUUUAAUGCUUGUAAUACUAUUCUUUGACACAUUUCCUCUUCCUUUGAAAUUCUUCUAGGACAGAACAUGGACACAAUGCAAUUGGGAUCAAGAAGAUCUUCUCAGAAAUGAAUCAAGUCCAUAGAAUGGAUAUAGACAAAAAGAGAAUUCAAGGACAAGCAGAGGUAGAGAGGUGAGGCAGGGGUGAGGACAUCAUCCUGCUAUUUUGACAGUCCCUGAAGGACAAUACAGAAGAGGACUGAAGACCACAGCAGCGAUCCUGCUCUUGCCCUACCUCUUCAAGAGGACCCGAGUGGCCUUUAUGUCCGUGACAAGAUUUCACCACUCUUCACUCCAUUACUGCACAUCGGCGGAAAUCAUUUUCACCAUGUGAGUGAAAUCCCGCUGGCCUUUGAUGGGGAGA